GGGUCCGGACACACUGAGGAUUGACAGGCAAUAUUAAUACGUGUUUCGGCACGUAUUAUGUUAAAUAUGCUAGUCCUUUCAUGAUUAUGUGAUAGGUGGUGCAUGGCCGUUCUUAGUUCGUGGAGUGAUCUGUCUGCUUAAUUGCGUUUCACUAAGAAUCUAUCAAUACGUGCGUUGCGGCACUUUGACCCCUCUCUGAGCGCGCGUCUUAGUUGCUUAGCUCGCACAAUUAGGUUCUGAAAGCAACGAACGUGACCGCAACCUCUUGUUGCCUUUAUACCAAACAUUUUUGCUGUUCUCAGCAUUAAUGCAAAAAGGCUUUUUAAACUAGAGGGACCGCUGUUACUUUCUUAAACCAGAGGAAGGUUGCGGCAAUAACAGGUCUGUGAUGCCCUUAGAUGUUCCGGGCUGCACACGUGCUACAAUGAUUGUUGCAGUGAGCAUCUCAUUUUUACACACCGCAUGCGCGAGUCCGUUUAUUCACUUCGGUGUUUUAAACGUGUAUUUCUGCGCGCGGUAAAGCCUGCUUCGAGAGUAAGUGGGU
rnacentral:rRNA from 1 species